UUCUCACAGAUCUCACUCCAAAUAUUCCUCAAUUUGUGAAAUGCUUGAAAGGCAAUAAUGUGAAAAAGUCCUGCUUCCUGGGACGGAGCCACCAUUCGAGAUACGGAUUUUGCAACCAUUACACUUUUGGGUUCAGAUGAAACCGUAGACUAUAUGGUACAUCCACCACCGACUAUAAGACAAUUUAAAUACAUUUAUUGGUAUUUGCACCAGAUAACUCUAGGUGAAUCUGUUCUCUGGAAAAGUUUUCUAGACAUUUUGUGCAUCCUCUUCAAAUAUAAUCAACAUUA